UGAUCAGAGUGCCGUCGCGCAUCUUUUUUCGCGCACCAUACCAAUUUGAAAAAUCGAUGAGGAUGCCAAAGAAGAAAUUUACUCCGAGAGCCACUUGGAUUGACCUUCAUUGAGAGUAAAACUUCCCCACACUAUAUUUUAUUAGAUCUGUAAAAACUUUAUCCAUUUUCUGACUAUCUGAUAAAAUAGAUACAAUUUCCCUGAAUAAUGGAUCGUCACAAAAGAUUUUUUUUUAAGGCCACUUCAUUAAAAUAGGUGUUUCCAGUACUUCCUCAUUUGGGUAUUUUACACAAAAUCUGGAUUUUUUUAUGUACAUGUCAUUUUUAUCAUCUGUCCCGCGCAACCAAACCAUCCACUUUUCCCGGUCACCAAUGUUCUUAACAAGAUAUCAAGAGAGAGAGGCUGGUCCAUUAUUUGCGUAGUCCAGCCAGCUUUUUUUUUUUACAACCUUUUUUCGUUCUCUCUCAUGAAGGAUAUGUUUUGAAAAUUAGUCUUACAAAAUACAAUUCCAAACCAACUCAUGCAGUUAUCGUCUUUUCACAGUAUUGAGGAGUCAUCCUUUUUGCUAGCCAGAGUGUUAAUUGGCAAAAGUGAAAAAUUCAUUUUCUUUAAUUUUUUAAAGUAAAUAUUCAUAACUAUAUCUUUUAUAUAAUAAUAUAUUUUUAAAAUAAUAAUCUUUUAUAUAGACAUGCUUUAAUAGAUCUAAUAAAUGAUUAACUCGGACCUACCAAUAUGGGUAUAUAAAUACUUAAAUCUGGGUAUUUAAAAUUUCGAAUGCGAAUUUUUAAAAAACCGAACUUAUAUUGAUCUAGAUCUCUUGUAUAAUAUCUAGAAUAAUAUAGAUCUACAACACCUAGGCCUAGACUAAAGUUAAAGACUAAGACUUCACUUUCACAUCACAUUCAGUCAUUCACACGAUAUUUGAUACAGACAGUGAAUGAAACGAAUGCAGUAGUUAUACUGAUUAUACUUAAAGUGACGAUACUACUUAUAGAUCUACCAGUUGAUAAACAUCAUCAUCAUAGAUAAUAAUCUACAUCUAUAAUCAUAGUGCCCUUUAUUUAGUCAAUAUAGUCAAGUCAAGGUAGUGGAAUGUAAACUCCAAGGUUUAAUACAAUAUGUUAUUAACAAGUAGAACCAUGGCAACCAGUUCUGAUGAUGUACCAGAAUGGCUCAAGGAUCAUACUUAUACUAUUUCUACUCUCUGGGCAUCCAUUCAAUAUUUAAUUUAUGUUUGGAAAUGCAAGAAAAAGGCAUGCAUUCCUGAAAAGUCAAUGAUUGGUUGCACCUCUUAAAAGUAAGAUAACUUUCUGUUAUGAGAAAAGAUGAGAUUCUUGGACUCCUGCAUAGCACCACCAGAAAGGAAAAUCCCAUCAUGUUGCAAAAUAAAAGUCUUGGACCAAUUUUAAUUUAAGAUAUAUAUAUUAUACUGUAAGCUGUAUACAUAUUUAUGUAUAUCCUGUCAUUCAGCCAACAGGUUUGGAUUUAGUAUUUCUUUAAAUCUGUUUGAUAUUGUACUUGAAAACUAUUAAUCUGAGCCCCAUUAAAACAAGAGGGAGUGCAGUGGAUGAGUGGUAAGGGAAAUUUUACUUUUUUUAAAUUAAAAUAAGAAUCUAACAAAAGUAAACAUAUAAAAUAUGGUGCAUUCUCCUUAAAACUAAAACCUGGUGCAAAGGUUUAAAAUGUUGGCAAAAAAAAAAAGCAACAUCAAUUAAAUAUUCUUAAUUCCCUUUGCAAAACUUACUGAGAAGAACAUGCA